rnacentral:rRNA from 1 species
UACGUAGGGUGCAAGCGUUGUCCGGAAUUAUUGGGCGUAAAGAGCUCGUAGGCGGUUUGUCGCGGCGGCUGUGAAAGCCCGGAGCUCAACUCCGGGUCUGCAGUCGAUACGGGCAGACUUGAGUGUUGCAGGGGAGACUGGAAUUCCUGGUGUAGCGGUGAAAUGCGCAGAUAUCAGGAGGAACACCGGUGGCGAAGGCGGCUCUGGGCAACACUGACGUGAGGAGCGAAAGCGUGGGGAGC